UCCUGUGUAAUGACCGGGUCCUCCUUGCAAGAAUAAAUAAUUUUAAAAGACUGUUUGAGUCAGAGUGUCUCUUACGCAGUGAUAAUGGUUGGUUGAUAAUUUUUUGCCACAACAAUUUGGUGUCAGAAAAGUGGGAUUCCUUGGAAGUGCCUUCUGGACCAGAGUGCGGACGGUGUUUGGCCACCUGGACUGAGAAGUUCCAGCUCUACCUCGUAAGUUUUAAGAGAGAGGGGCCGACCCCACCAGGGCCAGGAGAAACUCCACUGGAAUCAAAUGAAAAUGAACCCGUGGCAACCCAAAUAUCUCUGAGCUGAAAGCCCUGAAACUGAACCCUGACCUCGACUGCUCUCAGCCCAGAAGACAAGCACCACAAGCAGCUUCUCCCCUCUCUGACAGUGAAGGAGACCUGAAUGAACUUUUUUUCCUGAGACCUGAGAUCGCACAAGCAGUGAAAGCAAGUUACAUUGAAUGGAGCGGGCGAUUGACCUCCACCCUGGCAAACGCUGUACACGCAGAGCAACAGCUGCUGACAAAGAAAGACAAAGUCAAGGCGAAGGGAGAGAGAGAUCUUCAGCUGGCGUCUAAUGUCAGCACAUCGAAACCACAGCAGAAGUGGCCUGACAGGAAGAACAAAGGCUACAGAAACCAGCGAAGAUGGAGUUGCAGCUUGUGUAAGACUGACUACCAUGUAUUCAGAGAAUGCAAGAGAUGCAAGAGAAUGCAAGAGAUGAGGGGAAGAAAAAAGGCAAACUGAGGAAAGGAGGAGAGCAGCGAAGGUGGGGGCCGGAGACAAGGGCGAUCAGCAGCUGCUACAAGACAGGGAAGUGAACAUUUCUUUACCCACACACACACACACACACACACACACACACAUACACUGAUUUACUCACUGCUCUCUGCAAUGAAGACAAUUCUUGCGAAUCUUUCAGUGUGACUGAUAAAGUUUUAUGUGAUAAUGUUUCGGAUGAAUGUUUGAGUGUGCAAAAGUUCAGGGUUUUUACAAAUGCAGAGAUAUCAAAUGUUAGUUGAGGGGACAUUAGUAAAAUUUUUUUUGGUAGAUUCUGAGUCUGGCCAUUCUAUGAUACGAUCAUGUGACUUGCCAUGUGUCCCAAAAUUGACAGGUUCAGUGCAUAAAGAGCACUUUGGCCUAGGGCCAUUUGAUUUCUGAAAAAUUCACAGUGCCCUUAGAGUAUGAGUCAAAGGAGAAGGGGAAAACAUUUAAACAUGCGUUUUUGUGUUCACCAGCUUGUCCAAUUGCAUUGCAUGUCACAUGUCGUAAUUGAACGUGAACCAUAAUCUGAGGAGGGGUGGUUUAACAGGUUAGAAAAUGAGAGUGUGAAAUUUGAUAAGAUUUACUGGGCAGAAAAUGAGUGUGCUCUUAGCUUGCCUGACAGAAAAAAACAAAUGCAGUUCUAUUUUGAUAGCAGGGAACACUGAGGCACCCUAAUCAGUGAUCAAGGCCAAAGAGCAACUGUGAGCAGAUUUGGGCCCCUUUGUGAGAGAAUGCAUAAAAGCAACAGAUUAGUACAGGAGUUAAACACAGCAAAAGUAUAGGAGCAUUUAUGUCAAAAUGUGAUUUUGAGAUCGAGGUACAGAGAACUGUAACUGCUAAUGUGGAGAGUGCGGUGGAGAAACAUUCAAGGGGGCUCUGACAGAAGUACCUCCUAGAUUAUGGGUUAAACACAAAUAUGAUGUGGGUUUAAUCAAAGGAUGUGAACCGGUUAUAGUCAAACCAAAACCUGAUUACAGACCGUGUCAAGCGCAAUGCCCCCUAAAAGAGGAGGCAUUGCAGGGUAUUAUGCCAGUUUUUGACUCCUUGUUGAAGGAGAACAUAAUUAUACCAUGUCAUGAUUCUCCAGUUCGCACUCCAAUCUUCCCUGUGAAGAAAAUAAGAGUUAAGAAUUCACCAACUGAGUGGCGAUUUGUGCAAGAUCUUCAGGCCAUAAAUUCAGCUGUCAUUGCUAGGGCGGCACGUGUACCAAACCCUUACACAAUUUUGUCACAAAUUCCGCAAAAUGCAAUGUAUUUCACUGUGGUGGAUUUGGGUAAUGCUUUCUUUAGCGUCCCAGUGGACCAGAAGAGUCAGUUUUGGUUUGCGUUUGAUUUUGACAAUAAGGGUUAUACGUUCACACUGUUGUGCCAGGGGUACACUGAAUCCCCAACGAUCUAUAAUGAAGCGCUUCGAAGAAUCCUUGAACCCCUAACACUGACAGCUGGAACGGCUUUGUUGCAAUAUGUGGAUGAUUUGUUAAUCUGUGCAUGUGAUGAAGCUACGUGUGUGACGGACUCUGUGUCUCUCUUGAAGCACUUAGAACAGGAGGAACACAAAGUCAGUCUUUUGAAAUUGCAGUUUGUGAAACAGGAAAUAAAGUUUCUGGGACAUGUCAUCAGACCAAACAGUAAAUCCAUCUGUGACAAACGGGUACAGGCCAUAAAAGAUUUGCCAAGACCAAUUACAAAAAAACAUUUAUUGUAAUUUUUAGGAAUGUGUGCUUAUUGUCAUACAUUUAUUCCUAAUUAUGACAUUCUUGAACAGCCUUUGCGAGCCCUGAUGACAGGGAAAGGGCUGAGGUCAUGUGACAAGCUUGUUUGGACAAGCGAAGCCGAAGAGGCAUUUGCAAACAUGAAAGUGCAAAUGGCUCUGGCUCCCACUUUGGGCCUGCCAGAUGUAAACAAACCGUUUGUUCAGAUGACUGAUGAGAAAAAUGGGUUUAUGACUUCUGUUCUUUUGCAGACUCAUGGAGACAGACUGCGACCUGUGGCAUAUAUUACAACCAAACUUUAUGCAGUAGCAGCAGGGCUACCACACUAUUUGAGGGAUGUGGCGGCUGCUGAACUGGCAUCCAGGGAAUUUGUGGGGUAUUCUAAUUUAACUUUGAGGGUUCCACACGCAGUUUCCAUGAUUUUGCAAGAGCAGAGAACGUCACAUUUAUCUACAGCCCGAUGGCUGAGGUACCACACAAUUUUAUUGGACAUGCUAAACAUAACUGUUAAAAGAUGCACAACUGUGAAUCCCUGCCACACUUCUCCUGACAGAGGAGGAUGGCGAGGGACCUCACUGUUGUCUGUCGGCGCUUGAACAAGUGUGCAAACCGCUUCCAGAUCUUUUAGACAUGCCAUUAGACAAUUGUGACAAUAUCCUCUUUGUGGAUGGGUCGGCUUCCAAAGAUCCACAAACAGGAAAGAAUAAGGUUGGUUACGCGAUAACCACUGAAUUUGAGGUUGUGACAUCUGGCAAACUGCCAUCAAAUUAUUCAGCUCAGGCAGCUGAACUGGUUGCUUUAACAGAAGCAUGUAAAUUUAUGGCAGACAAAUGUGUGACGAUUUACACAGAUUCGCGUUAUGCCUUUGGGGUAACACACGAUUUUGGUGCUUUAUGGAAGCACAGAAAAUUUCUGAAGUCAGAUGGUCGUCCAAUAUUAAAUGCAUCUCUUGUGUCUGAGCUUUUGGAGGCCAUUCUUUUACCAGACAAGGUCGCGAUUUGCAAAUGCGCAGCGCAUACUAACGAUAACAGUUCAGUCUCAACAGGAAACGGACGAGCAGACGCGGCAGCGAAGGCCGAGGCAGCGAUGGAGACAAAAGAGACUACGUGUGCUUUGAUAUCUGACAAUAACCUCAACAUUUGUUCUUGUUUACAGAGCAUGCAAACUUUUUCCACAGGCAAGGAGAAAACCCGAUGGAAGACAGCUGGCUGUAACUUGGAGGAGAAUGUGUGGAUGAGCUGUAAUGGCAUGCUUUGUUUACCCAAACAUUUCUUUCCUCAUUAUGGAAAGUUGAUACAUGGGUUAGACCAUGUAUCAAAAGCCGGGAUGGUUGCAAAGAUGAAAGAAUUGUGGUUUACAAAGGGUUUCACGAUAUUUGCUGAACAUUUUUGCAAAAGAUGUGUUAUUUGUAACACACAUAAUGUGGCAAGAGGGAUAAAAACACCUAUAGUAUCUCAACCACCAUCAGGGGGGCCUUUGAGUAUCUGAUGAUGGAUUUCAUCGAGUUAACCCCUUGUGGGAAACAGAAAUAUUGCCUGGUUAUGGUUGACAUUUGGUCCAAAUGGGUUGAGGUCUUCCCAACCUGGAAACAAGACUCGGCAGCAGUAGCGAAGGCUCUUUUAACCGAGAUUGUUCCGAGAUGGGGAAUUCAGAGGAAAAUCAGCUCGGACAAUGGGACACACUUUGUCAAUGAAGCAAUAAAGCAGGUGGGGUCAGUUUUUGGGAAUUGACAUGAGAACACACUGCAGUUAUUGAGAGGGAGAUUCAAACAAUCAAGAACAAAUUGGCUAAGUGCUGUGAGGAAACUGGGCUCACAUGGGUUAAAACUCUCCCAAUUGUGUUGAUGUACAUGAGAAUGAGAAAAAGAGUCAAAACAAAUUUAAGUCCAUUUGAAAUACUCUUUGGUAGACCACCAUUCAUGGGAAUAGAAAGGGUUAGACAAGGGCUGCCAUCAACAGAUCUGUGAGAGAAUGACAUUUUGAAUUAUUGCAAAGAAAUGUCUUCUCUGUUGUCCAAUGUUUGUGUUCAGGUGAAAGUUGCUGAAACCCUCCUGCAUAGGAUCAGGCCUGGUGAUUUCAUUGUGAUUCAGGACCUGAGGAGAAAGAGCUGGAAGGCCAAAAGUUGGCUGGCACCAUUCCAAGUGCUACUAACGACUCACACGCCAGUGAAGGUCGCAGAGAGAGCUACGUGGGGGUUCAUGCCAACCAUCGCAGGAGAAUCAGCAAAAGGAAGAGAUUGUACCGAGUGAAUGUCAAUAAACGCCGAGAUCAAGUUUGAACACCAAGUACCACUAUCAGUGGAAGAGCAAGGCCAACCACAGAGAAUAACAUGGCCUGUGUGCAGAGUGGACCCCAUCGUGUGGUCACAAGCAGUAAUCAUCAUGAAAAGGUACAAACUGAAAAGAAUUCAAGAACAAUGCGAGACGGUUUAAAGCAGGAUGGUCUGAUUGCAGGGUCAGAAUCAACGUGAAGGACAGAACAGCGGACAAUUGUACAGCCGUCAUCAACGACAAAGUCAACUUCACAUGCCCAUUCAGCAAGCCACAUGAAACUUCACCUGCAGCAGUGUGGGUGUGUGGCAACAGGGCAUUUCAUCGGAUGCCAAAGAAAUAGUCAGGGUGUUAUUAUUGAUGAAUGUGGGUACAUCUGUGUAUUUGCCAAACAAGGCACCUGGGGUGGGUUGAAAUUUUACCUGGGGUUUUACCAAAGCAUUAUGCAGCAAUGUGGGGUGGUCAUUGUUCUUAGGGGUGGGUACAACGGUAACAAUUAAUAAGAUAAAUGGGAUAGCAUGGAAAGUAUUAGCAAUAGAUAAUAGCACAGAAAAUGCUUUGACAAUGAUAAACGAUGAAAUUAAACAGUUAAGAGAUUCAAAACAGGUUGGUUCUUGAUAUGUUAACUGCAGAGAAAGGGGGAGUUUGCAAAAUGUUGGGAAUGUCUUGUUGUUUCAAUAUUCCAGAUUACAGUGACAACAUCACGAAUGUAAUUGAACACAUGAGAAAAGCCGUACAUUAGCCAGAACAUAUUGAGAGUACAUGGGUUACUUGGUUUAUGAAUCUCUGGGGAGGAUGUGGGUAUUGGCUGAUUCAAACUGUGUUACCAAUUGCGGUGGUAAGACUGUCGAUAUUCUUAUGUUUACCAUGCAUCAUAAUGUGUGUUUCCAGCUCAGUACAGAGACUGGUUAAAGCAGGGAUGUCUGUUCAAUUGAUAAAAAUGACAGUAUAUCCAGAGGAUGAUGAAAACAAAUAUGAUGAUACAAGUAGCGAGAGCUACUGUGAAAUGUGUUAAAAUGAGGUAUGUCUUUUCUUUCUGAGAAUGUUUUGAUAUGUAAAGAGGGUUAUAAGCAGCUGUCAUCCGUGUUACGAGAUGACGUACAAGGAGAGGGUUUGAAAUGAGGGAUUUUAUUAUACUUUAUUCUUUGUAUUUUUUUUUUUUAUAGCCUGCUGACAUAACCAAAGUGUUAAAUUGAUGUGUUUUUCCUACUUGAUCUGUACACUAUUCCUUUUGUUUAUUCUGAGGUGACUGAGGGUCUGAUUUUAUGUCAGACGUGCAGUAACGGUGUUUACUCAUUUAGCCCGGCUUCAGAUAAAGUCUUUACUUGCUUGCUAAUACUUAAGGGACUAUCCCCACAAAAAAAAAAAAAAAACAGUCUAAGCUCUUAUUUUUCCAAAUGUUAUUUCACAAAUGUUUAAGAGAGUGAUCAUUUAUGCGAAAAUCAGAGAUGAAGAGUGUAAGUGUGAUGAUAUGACUUAAAAUUUGUCUUAUUGUUUAUUAUUGUGAUUGAGUAAUCUGAAUGAUAAAAAGCGGGGAAUUGUUGUAGAAAUUUUGAUACUCAUUGAUCAGUGAUAAUCAUUGCAGGGGAAUGCCUCUGUGUCUGAGGGAUGCAGAGGGGGAGGAUCUGCUUUUGUUGAGAAACCUUGGGAUAAAAGAGUAUAAAAUACAAGUCAGCCCUCCCUUCUGGGGACCACUCACGGCACAGAUUAACUCCUGUGUAAUGACCGGGUCCUUCUUGCAAGAAUAAAUAAUUUUAAAAGAC